rnacentral:rRNA from 1 species
AGAAUCUUCCACAAUGGACGAAAGUCUGAUGGAGCAACGCCGCGUGAGUGAAGAAGGUUUUCGGAUCGUAAAGCUCUGUUGUUGGUGAAGAAGGAUAGAGGCAGUAACUGGUCUUUAUUUGACGGUAAUCAACCAGAAAGUCACGGCUAACUACGUGCCAG